UUCAGUAUUGUUCACUCUGAAUUUGUCGUGGAACCAUUUGAGUGGGAAGAUAUCAGAGAACAUUAGGAAUUUACAACUGUUGGAAAGUCUUGAUCUCUCAUACAACAAUCUUUCAGGCCCAAUUCCUACUAGCAUGAUCUCAAUGACUUUCUUGAACUAUUUGAAUCUGUCACCCAACAAGUUAUGGGGUCAAAUCCCAAUAGGUAACCAAUUCCAAACUUUCAAUGAACGUUGUAUAUAUGAAGGAAACCCAAAGCUUUGCAGUCCUUCAUUAUCAAACAGUUUUUCACCACCGACCAAUAGAGAUGGAGAAGAUGAAAAUGGAGACUCAGAAGUAAUGAUAGCUCGUUGCAAGGAGAAGAUUUGGGGGUGACACUGGACACUGAUGAGAAGAGAAGCUUGAUUUUAGGUGAGCCUUAGAUCGGUGGAC